GACGAACGCUGGCGGCGCGCUUAACACAUGCAAGUCGAACGGAAAGGCCUGCUUUCCCUUGUGGAUUGCGGGUACUCGAGUGGCGAACGGGUGAGUAACACGUGAGUGAUCUGCCCCCAACUUGGGUAUAAGCCUGGGAAACUGGGUCUAAUUCCCGAUAGGACUGCAGGGUGGUGCCUGUGGUGGAAAACGAUUUUCUAGUGGUUGGGGAUGAGCUCGCGGCCUAUCAGCUUGUUGGUGGGGUAAUGGCCUACCAAGGCGGCGACGGGUAGCCAGCCUGAGAGGGUGGACGGGCACAUUGGGACUGAGAUACGGCCCAGACUCCUACGGGAGGCAGCAGUGGGGAAUAUUGCACAAUGGGCGGAAGCCUGAUGCAGCGACGCCGCGUGGGGGAUGACGGCCUUCGGGUUGUAAACUCCUUUCGACCGCGAGGAAGCCACCUGGUUGGAAGGGUGGUGACGGUAGUGGUAGAAGAAGCACCGGCUAACUACGUG
rnacentral:rRNA from 1 species